rnacentral:rRNA from 1 species
CAAGCGUUGUCCGGAUUUACUGGGCGUAAAGAGCGCGCAGGCGGUCGUUCAAGUCGCGUGUGAAAGCCCCCGGCUCAACUGGGGAGGGUCACGCGAUACUGAUCGACUCGAAGGCAGGAGAGGGAAGUGGAAUUCCCGGUGUAGUGGUGAAAUGCGUAGAUAUCGGGAGGAACACCAGUGGCGAAGGCGACUUCCUGGCCUGUUCUUGACGCUGAGGCGCGAAAGCUAGGGGAGCAAACGGG